rnacentral:rRNA from 1 species
CUCAUAGCAAGUCGAGCGGCAGCACGGGUACUUGUACCUGGUGGCGAGCGGCGGACGGGUGAGUAAUGCCUAGGAAUCUGCCUGGUAGUGGGGGAUAACGCUCGGAAACGGACGCUAAUACCGCAUACGUCCUACGGGAGAAAGCAGGGGACCUUCGGGCCUUGCGCUAUCAGAUGAGCCUAGGUCGGAUUAGCUAGUUGGUGAGGUAAUGGCUCACCAAGGCGACGAUCCGUAACUGGUCUGAGAGGAUGAUCAGUCACACUGGAACUGAGACACGGUCCAGACUCCUACGGGAGGCAGCAGUGGGGAAUAUUGGACAAUGGGCGAAAGCCUGAUCCAGCCAUGCCGCGUGUGUGAAGAAGGUCUUCGGAUUGUAAAGCACUUUAAGUUGGGAGGAAGGGCAGUUACCUAAUACGUGAUUGUUUUGACGUUACCGACAGAAUAAGCACCGGCUAACUCUGUGCCAGCAGCCGCGGUAAUACAGAGG